GAUGUAGUAAGCUAACAAAGCUUUUGGGCCCAUACCCCAAAUAUGACGGUUAAAAUCCUUCCUACAUCA
rnacentral:tRNA from 1 species